AGUGAACGCUGGCGGUAGGCCUAACACAUGCAAGUCGAACGGCAGCACAGUAAGAGCUUGCUCUUACGGGUGGCGAGUGGCGGACGGGUGAGGAAUACAGCGGAAUCUACUUUUUCGUGGGGGAUAACGUAGGGAAACUUACGCUAAUACCGCAUACGACCUACGGGUGAAAGCAGGGGAUCUUCGGACCUUGCGCGAUUGAAUGAGCCGAUGUCGGAUUAGCUAGUUGGCGGGGUAAAGGCCCACCAAGGCGACGAUCCGUAGCUGGUCUGAGAGGAUGAUCGGCCACACUGGAACUGAGACACGGUCCAGACUCCUACGGGAGGCAGCAGUGGGGAAUAUUGGACAAUGGGCGCAAGCCUGAUCCAGCCAUACCGCGUGGGUGAAGAAGGCCUUCGGGUUGUAAAGCCCUUUUGUUGGGAAAGAAAAGCAGCAGGUUAAUACCCCGCUGUUCUGACGUUACCCAAAGAAUAAGCACCGGCUAACUUCGUG
rnacentral:rRNA from 1 species